UACCGUCUCUUCCAUCUCCAAGGU
rnacentral:siRNA from 1 species